AGUGAACGCUGGCGGUAGGCCUAACACAUGCAAGUCGAACGGCAGCACAGUAAGAGCUUGCUCUUACGGGUGGCGAGUGGCGGACGGGUGAGGAAUACCUCGGAAUCUACUUUUUCGUGGGGGCUAACGUAGGGAAACUUACGCUAAUACCGCAUACGACCUACGGGUGAAAGCAGGGGAUCUUCGGACCUUGCGCGAUUGAAUGAGCCGAGGUCGGAUUAGCUAGUUGGCGGGGUAAAGGCCCACCAAGGCGACGAUCCGUAGCUGGUCUGAGAGGAUGAUCAGCCGCACUGGAACUGAGACACGGUCCAGACUCCUACGGGAGGCAGCAGUGGGGAAUAUUGGACAAUGGGCGCAAGCCUGAUCCAGCCAUACCGCGUGUGUGAAGAAGGCCUUCGGGUUGUAAAGCCCUUUUGUUGGGAAAGAAAAGCAGCAGGUUAAUACCCCGCUGUUCUGACGGUACCCAAAGAAUAAGCACCGGCUAACUUCGUG
rnacentral:rRNA from 1 species